ensembl:rRNA 5S_rRNA 5S ribosomal RNA
GUCUAUGGCCAAGCCACCCUCACCACGCCUGAUCCCAUCUAAAUCUCUGCAAGUUAAGCAGGGCUGGGUCCAGUUAGUACUUGGAGGGGUGACCUCCUGGGAAUACUGGGUGCUGUAGGAC